rnacentral:rRNA from 1 species
GACGAACGCUGGCGGCGUGCUUAACACAUGCAAGUCGAGCGGUAAGGCCCUUUCGGGGGUACACGAGCGGCGAACGGGUGAGUAACACGUGGGUGACCUGCCUUUAGCUCUGGGAUAAGCCUGGGAAACUGGGUCUAAUACCGGAUAUGACUCCAUGAUGCAUGUUGUGGGGUGGAAAGCCUUGUGCGGCUGGAGAUGGGCCCGCGGCCUAUCAGCUUGUUGGUGGGGUGAGGCCUACCAAGGCGACGACGGGUAGCCGGCCUGAGAGGGCGACCGGCCACACUGGGACUGAGACACGGCCCAGACUCCUACGGGAGGCAGCAGUGGGGAAUCUUGCGCAAUGGGCGAAAGCCUGACGCAGCGACGCCGCGUGAGGGA